rnacentral:rRNA from 1 species
UGGGGAAUAUUGCACAAUGGGCGCAAGCCUGAUGCAGCAAUGCCGCGUGUGUGAAGAAGGCCUUCGGGUUGUAAAGCACUUUCAGACGUGAGGAAAAGUUAAUAGUUAAUAACUGUUAACCCUGACGUUAACGUCAGAAGAAGCACCGGCUAACUCCGUGCCAGCAGCCGCGGUAAUACGGAGGGUGCAAGCGUUAAUCGGAAUUACUGGGCGUAAAGCGCGCGUAGGCGGUUAUUUAAGUCAGAUGUGAAAUCCCUGGGCUCAACCUAGGAACUGCAUUUGAUACUGGAUAACUAGAGUAUGGUAGAGGUGAGUGGAAUUUCAGGUGUAGCGGUGAAAUGCGUAGAGAUCUGAAGGAACAUCAGUGGCGAAGGCGACUCACUGGGCCAUUACUGACGCUGAGGUGCGAAAGCGUGGGUAGCAAACAGGAUUAGAUACCCUGGUAGACCACGCCCUAAACCAUGUCAACUAGGUGUAUGGGAGAUUAACUCUUGUGUAUCGAAGCUAACGCGAUAAGGUGACCGCCUGGGGAGUACGGUCGCAAGACUA